rnacentral:rRNA from 1 species
UACGGAGGGUGCAAGCGUUAUCCGGAUUCACUGGGUUUAAAGGGUGCGUAGGCGGGCAGGUAAGUCCGUGGUGAAAUCUCUGAGCUUAACUCAGAAACUGCCAUGGAUACUAUUUGUCUUGAAUAUUGUGGAGGUGAGCGGAAUAUGUCAUGUAGCGGUGAAAUACUUAGAUAUGACAUAGAACACCAAUUGCGAAGGCAGCUCGCUACACAUAUAUUGACUCUGAGGCACGAAAGCGUGGGGAUCAAACAGG